rnacentral:rRNA from 1 species
AUGAAAUCCAACCGUGCUCCUGGUCUGGAUGACAUCCCUGUUGAGUUCUAUCAACAUUGCUGGGAGGUGGUUGCCUAGGAUCUUUUCUGUCUAUUUGAGUGGUUCUAUGAAGGCAAGUUGGACGUGCAACGUCUAAACUAUGGCAUCAUAACUCUUUUGCCCAAAUCUGCGGAUGCUACAAAAAUCCAGCAAUAUAGACCCAUUUUCUUGCUUUGUUGCCCCUAUAAACUUACCACCAAAGCUAUGGAUAUUAGAGUGAGCAAAUACGCCCAUAAGUUGUUUAGUGUCCAGAAAAAUGCUUUUAUUAAGGGGAGACAUAUUGAUGAUGGUAUUCUCUCCCUGCAAGAAGUGUUGCAUUAUACUCAUAUCAAAAAGCAAGUGGGGGUGAUCCUUAAACUUGAUUUUGAAAAAGCCUACGACAAAGUUAAUUGGGAAUUUUUGCUUGACUACCAUGAGAAGCGUGGGUUUAACUCUAAGUGGUGUGGGUGGGUAUCUCAAAUCCUUAAGAAUGGCAUGGUAAGUGUCAAGAUUAACGAUGAGAUCGGCCCUUACAUACAAAGUGCUAAGGGGGUACGGCAAGGUGACCCUCAUUUCCCCUUUCUGUUUAACAUUGCGGCUGAAUGGCUGACUAAAAUGGUGCUUUCAGCACAAAAACGGUCUCAAUAA